UCCGAGUUGUCCCCGGCAGUCUCCUUAGAGUCCCCGCCAUUACGCGCUGGCAACUAAGGACAGGGGUUGCGCUCGUUGCGGCACUUAAGCCAACACCUCACGGCACGAGCUGACGACAGCCAUGCAGCACCUGUGCUGGCCCCUUACGGAGCCCUGCUUUCCACGGGUGCGACCUACAUGUCAAGCCCAGGUAAGGUUCUUCGCGUUGCGUCGAAUUAAACCACAUGCUCCGCUGCUUGUGCGGGCCCCCGUCAAUUCCUUUGAGUUUCAGCCUUGCGGCCGUACUCCCCAGGCGGGGCACUUAAUGCGUUAGCGCCGGCACUCGGAGGGUCGCUCCCCCAAGCACCUAGUGCCCAUCGUUUACGGCGUGGACUAC
rnacentral:misc_RNA from 1 species